rnacentral:rRNA from 1 species
GACGAACGCUGGCGGCGUGCUUAACACAUGCAAGUCGAACGGAAUGGCCCUGCCUUUGUGGGGUGGUCUAGUUGCGAACGGGUGAGUUACCCGUGAGUAACCUGUCCCCGCCUUAGAGUUAACUUCAGGACAUUUGGGCUCUUACCGGGUAGGAUCUCCUGCUGCAUGGUGAGCGCGGGUUGGUUUCGGCGGUUGGGGAUGUACUCGCGGCCUAUCCGGUUGUUGCUUGGGUAGUGGCAUACCAUGGCUUGGACGGGUAGCCGUCCUGCGAGGCUCACCGGCCACAUUGGGACUGAGCUGCGGCCCAGCCUCCUACGGGAGGCAGCAGUGGGGUAUAUUGCACGAGGGGCGGAAGCCUGAUGCAGCAACGCCGCGUGCGGGGUGACGGCCAUCGGGUUGUAAACCGCUUUCGCCUGUGACGAAGCGUGAGUGACGGUAAUGGGUAAAGAAGCACCGGCUAACUACGUG